GGGGAUGUAGCUUAGUUAGUGAAGUGCUUGCCUAGCAUGCGGGAGGGCCUGGGUUUGAUCCCCAGCACCA
rnacentral:tRNA from 1 species